AUAAACCAAGUUUUAAUCAUAGUAUAACCAGAAAACAUAAAUCAAUUGCUCGUACUAAAUUUUGAAGAGAACAGAGCAAGAAAUUAAAGAGAGUAAAAAUGUACUCAGAUCAGCCACCUCCAGCUCAAGAAAUAACAUACGUAGAUCAUGUUAAGAGACGCCAUGAAGAGAAAGGAUGCAUCUAUGCAACUUGUUUUGCGUUAUGCUGCUGCUUCUGCUGUUACGAAACCUGUGAAUGCUGCUUUGAUAUCCUCUGCUGUUGCUGUUAAGCACGAGCCUUAGUUUCAGAAAGAAACUCUGUACUAUUGUAUAGUACUGCUUUAUGUGGAUGAAUUUGUAUUUGGAUUGAGCUGGGUUUGUAUCAUAUUUUUGUCGAGUUUAGUUUUUAGCUGUCACUUUGAUGAAUUCGUAAAGUUCUGUCAGCAAGAGGUUCAUGUAAUACUAGUAUGACUAUAAUUAAUUGGGUGUUUUGUAAAGUACUUCCUACAUAGUCAUAAAAAUUAAGAGUUCAA